rnacentral:rRNA from 1 species
AUUGAACGCUGGCGGCAUGCUUUACACAUGCAAGUCGAACGGUAACAGGCCUUCGGGUGCUGACGAGUGGCGAACGGGUGAGUAAUGCAUCGGAACGUGCCCAGAGGUGGGGGAUAACGCAGCGAAAGCUGUGCUAAUACCGCAUGUGAUCUGAGGAUGAAAGCGGGGGACCAGGCAGCAAUGUUUGGCCUCGCGCCUUUGGAGCGGCCGAUGUCAGAUUAGGUAGUUGGUGGGGUAAAGGCCUACCAAGCCGACGAUCUGUAGCUGGUCUGAGAGGACGACCAGCCACACUGGGACUGAGACACGGCCCAGACUCCUACGGGAGGCAGCAGUGGGGAAUUUUGGACAAUGGGCGCAAGCCUGAUCCAGCAAUGCCGCGUGCGGGAAGAAGGCCUUCGGGUUGUAAACCGCUUUUGUACGGAAAGAAAAGGCUCUGGCUAAUACCUGGGGCUGAUGACGGUACCGUAAGAAUAAGCACCGGCUAACUACGUG